rnacentral:sRNA from 1 species
UAGGGAUGGUGCUGCCUACAGUGGACUGGGCCUUUCUACAUCAAUUAACAAUCAGGAAAAUGCCCCACAGAUAUGGACGAAGGCCUAUCUGACCCAGGUUUUGGAAGAUUGUAGGAUAUUGGGUAAUGUAUCCUUGGAACUUCUCUGGACUAUCUUUGCAAAGUUCUGUGGCUCUCCAAAGACCUGCAAAUAAACAUCUAAAGGAGAAAUCUGUACCUCUCACCCUGCCCAUGGGAGGACCAUAAGCCCAUCUUAUUAUUUUAACUCCUCCUCCUACCGAGGAUUAUUUGCUUCUCCUCAAGCUUCCAGACAAUAUCACGUGACAGCUGGAUUAUAGCUAUAUUAUAUUCCUUGAAGAAAAUACUGUCCUGUGAAGCAACAAUGGUCCCAUUUCAAGCAAGGACCGUGAAGAUGGAAAUUGGAUUCCAAACCCACCAGGUAACCAUAAUGCAGGGGGUCAGAGAAGCAGCCAUCCUCCGGCCACAUCUGUGCUGAGUGAUAGUCUUUCUGAAUGAGAAGAAAUAGAGGCUAAUUAUCCCCAGGGUUUGACAGGUCUUUCUCAACACUUCUGCAUAAAAGAGCAAGGCCACCCAGCUGGCCCCUCAAUUGAAGGCUGCAAGAAUCUGGUGGCGCUGGUACUCAAACAAAUGAGAGAGCACAUCAAAGGGGAGCCCUACAAAGGCCCAAGGGGGGAGCUGGAGGGGACCCGAUGGUGACUGCAGUGUCUUCAGCUGGAAAAGCAAAUUGAAGAGCGGCCAUUGAAAAGGGGACAAUGCGUGGCCACAUGGGAAGAGAGGAAACAAGAGACCUUCUUGUGCAUCCAUUCCUCCCCUAACAAGAGUAGGUGCAGGACGGAUAAGUGCUGUGAAGAGGGAUCUAUUGCUAUGUAUAUGGGGCCAGCUCAAGUGAAAGCAUGAGAGGGUUGAAACUGGGCAUCCCUCUUGUCAUCUCGCUUGGGUUUAAUGUCUUAGACCCCUGCAGUGACCCAACAGUACUGUUGACAGGUUCAGCCCAUGUUCAAGCAGAUUCUUGGACAGGUACCUAUUUGCCUGGGGAGUGUGACACAGAAGAGGGACUGUGAGGCCAUUCCUUAGAUUCCUUACAGGUGAGCUUGCACUCUCGAGAGAGACACCUAGCUAUGGACCUAAAAUUUCCAACUAACUGUAGGAAGGACCUGCCAGGGCACAAGACUUAAGACCGCCUAUGUGGGUGCUGCUAAAGUUAAGCUCACAGGGGUCAAGGUGUGUUGGGGGCUGGGUAGGAAGGGAAUAUAAAAUCUUCAUAGUUCUGUGGCAGCCAGUGGGAAGGGGAGCUGGAGGAUUUCAGGCAGGGGAGUAUGGAAUUUUAAUCAAAUGCACAGAGAGCUGGGGAAGAAAUAUGGGAAGCAAAUCCAGAUAGGGUAGUGGAAGAGGGCUGAGAAAACACAAGCUUGCACACUGACUUGUCCUCGUGCACACACCUGCACCCCACUGGCCCAUUCACACUCACACGUGGGGAAUCACCUCUACACUCACAUACAUGUGACUGGCCAGGGCAGAGUCUAUGAAGAAAGGGAGAGAGAUGGCUCUGUGUGGUGCAUGCUAGGCAAUUUGCCUCAGGGCACAAUUAGGUUACCUAUGAUACCUCUUCCAGGAUGGCUUCACAGGGGCACAACACCUCAAUGUUGAGGAUGCAGGGAGGUCUCGACUCAGGUCAUACUUUCCUUUACAUUGUCUGUUAGCUCUUCUCUCUCCUCUAGCUCACUCAGAGUAUAAGGCUCAAGAGUGAGAGAGGAUGUGUG